GCUUGCUUGCGGGGGAUUAGUGGCGAACGGGUGAGUAACACGUGAGUAACCUGCCCUUGACUCUGGGAUAAGCCUGGGAAACUGGGUCUAAUACCGGAUAUGACCUUCCAUCGCAUGGUGGUUGGUGGAAAGCUUUUGUGGUUUUGGAUGGACUCGCGGCCUAUCAGCUUGUUGGUGGGGUAAUGGCCUACCAAGGCGACGACGGGUAGCCGGCCUGAGAGGGUGACCGGCCACACUGGGACUGAGACACGGCCCAGACUCCUACGGGAGGCAGCAGUGGGGAAUAUUGCACAAUGGGCGCAAGCCUGAUGCAGCGACGCCGCGUGAGGGAUGACGGCCUUCGGGUUGUAAACCUCUUUCAGUAGGGAAGAAGCGAAAGUGACGGUACCUGCAGAAGAAGCGCCGGCUAACUACGUGCCAGCAGCCGCGGUAAUACGUAGGGCGCAAGCGUUAUCCGGAAUUAUUGGGCGUAAAGAGCUCGUAGGCGGUUUGUCGCGUCUGCCGUGAAAGUCCGGGGCUCAACUCCGGAUCUGCGGUGGGUACGGGCAGACUAGAGUGAUGUAGGGGAGACUGGAAUUCCUGGUGUAGCGGUGAAAUGCGCAGAUAUCAGGAGGAACACCGAUGGCGAAGGCAGGUCUCUGGGCAUUAACUGACGCUGAGGAGCGAAAGCAUGGGGAGCGAACAGGAUUAGAUACCCUGGUAGUCCAUGCCGUAAACGUUGGGCACUAGGUGUG
rnacentral:rRNA from 1 species